GAUGAACGCUGCGGUGUGCUUAACACAUGCAAGUCGAACGGAAAGGCUCCUGCUUGCAGGGGUACUCGAGUGGCGAACGGGUGAGUAACACGUGGGUGAUCUGCCCUGCACUUCGGGAUAAGCCUGGGAAACUGGGUCUAAUACCGGAUAGGACGAUGGUUUGGAUGCCAUUGUGGAAAGUUUUUUCGGUGUGGGAUGAGCUCGCGGCCUAUCAGCUUGUUGGUGGGGUAAUGGCCUACCAAGGCGUCGACGGGUAGCCGGCCUGAGAGGGUGUACGGCCACAUUGGGACUGAGAUACGGCCCAGACUCCUACGGGAGGCAGCAGUGGGGAAUAUUGCACAAUGGGCGCAAGCCUGAUGCAGCGACGCCGCGUGGGGGAUGACGGCCUUCGGGUUGUAAACUCCUUUCGCUAGGGACGAAGCGCAAGUGACGGUACCUGGAGAAGAAGCACCGGCUAACUACGUG
rnacentral:rRNA from 1 species